CGCCGCACCCGCUGCCCCCCCCCCCCCCCCCCCCGCCGCACCAGCUGUCCUCCACCUAUAGCGGGAGCAUGCAGGAGCAGCAGCGAGCCAGAUCUGGGCCUUGUUGACGAGGUCGGCUUCUCCAAGCACGGGAGCGCACAUGGCGGCGAUGACGGGCAAAGUAGAGAGAAGCCGGCGCGACGGCUGGGAGACGGUCCGGACUGGAUCCCGCCAUCACCACAAGUCACCGCCUCGUCCAUGCACCAAACUGGCUGGAUCGUGGUCCAGCCUAGGGCGCGGUGCUUGAUACAAAGGAUGCGAUGCGGGAUACACAGGAGCGGGCGGUUUGCGUCGAUCGAGUGUUGGCGCGGGAUCCAGCUGAGGUGCUCGAGCAGAGGCACGGGAGGACGAUGCCCUUCCCUUUGUGCCCCCACUCCCGGCGUCGCCACCGCCGGUCACAUGUAGCCGCCUCUAAACUCCUGGCCCACACGUUGCUUGGGCUGCUCGGUCAAAACUCAAGAUACAUCCGGAUUGGAGCUCAAACGUCGUCGACGUGUACAUCUCAAUCCCGGUCGCCAGUUAGCUGCCCUUGCUUCACACCACCACUGUUGGAGGGGAUCCAGCCACAUUUGAUGCGAGGCGAAGCAGGCAGUCUCAGAGGGGAUCCAGCCAACGAGGGCAACGCGGGCUAUAGGUCUUUUGAGCGGAUCCAGUCAGCGCGCUCAAGGGGAUCCAUCUUCUUUAAACAAGAACCCUAUUUUAGACUAGAGAGAUUUGCCUGACAGCUUGAUGUUUGUACCACUUAAUUAACAAACAAGUCAGAGGAGUUUGCUUUUUUAAGAAAGAAAGGAAAACUGCAAACAUCAAGAUUUCCUUCUCCCAUGAAGAUAAAAACAGUAAAACCUUUAAACCUGUGAUUUUUCAAUCCCUCUAAUGCAGCAUGUAGACGUCCCGGUCCCUUCAACAAGAGGAAUGAGGCCCUGUUGAAACUACAAGCUACAACCAUCAAUACAGAGAAAGGGGACUUGCGGCCUUUUAUCCCAGUGCAUGAUGUUGCAAGAGUAGUUGUUGAUUUUGGUCCUAGAGCGAAAAUUCUCACAACAGGUCAUCGCCAUGUUGAACUAUUUUAAGGUGGGUGGACUCUUAGAAGGCCAUCUGAGGUUUCUGCAGCUGAGGGUGGUGGGCUUCCCAUUGAUGCAGGCACAACACUAUACACAUUGAGGUCCAUUGGUGCCAAGUUUGCCGGCAUCGGCAAGCCAUUAAACGCAGCGCUGCUUCUCGUGGCGUAGACCUAUACACGGUGCAGCCUGCAAAGCUAGCAACCUUCAUGAUACCGCCACCUGCGACGCCCACAACAUAACUCCGUCUGUCACUGCCCGAUGCCAGUCUCCAUUGAUUUCGUUUCAGAAAAAAGUCUCCCUGGAUACCCUCACCGACCUAAUCAGAGACCACCGAGGCCGGGAAUGACUCUCCAUGGAACCAAGUGGUGACUAGUGAGUCGAUUUGACAUCUUCCUGUCCUUAUCUAUUUUGUGCUCCUUCCGUGGUCUGUGCCCACCUCUUUUUUUGCCUCCUGUAUUACCCAACUAGAAGCAUGAUUCGUGCAUAUCAUUUCUUAUUCUGAUUGAUAUUGUUCAUGUUCUCCUGCUACUACUGAUAUUUUAUAAUAUUAUAAAGAACAUAUGUAAGCUUGUUUGUAAA